rnacentral:lncRNA from 1 species
CUUCUGUUUUUCUGAGUAGAAAAUGGCACUUUGCACUUUCCUCAUUUUUUUCUCUAGAUGAUUAGGUUGAGAGAAUGAAAGGAUACCAUUUUAACCCAAUAUCCUGCCAGCGGCUGCUAAGAAGGAUACCAAUUAAUUCUAAUUGUAGUGGCAGCUUUUAGGAUGUUGACUCUUCUUUAUUAAGAUUAUAACCAGGAACUCAGUGCACAUAGGUCACAAUGUAGCUGUCAAAUGGCAGCAACUUCAAUCAAUACCCACCUGGAUUGGAUGCAACCUGAUGACCUAGAGAUUUUUUUAGAAGAAUGGAUUCAUUUUCAAGCAUCCUUCAAGGACGUGGAGAGAAGGUGGCUACCUGCAAACCGGGAAGAGAACUCUCACCAGAAACUGAACACCGCCAGAAAGUGAAUUCCCAGCCACCAGAAAUGUGAGAAGAUACAUUUCUUUGUUUAAUCUAUCCAGUCUAUUGUAUUUACAGCCUGAGCAGACUAAGACAACUAGUAAUACAAUGUGUCUAUU